CCCGCACAAGCGGUGAGCAUGUGGUUUAAUUCGAUGCAACGCGCAGAACCUUACCUGGGCUUGACAUCCAGAGAAUCCUGCAGAGAUGUGGGAGUGCCUUCGGGAACUCUGAGACAGGUGCUGCAUGGCUGUCGUCAGCUCGUGUCGUGAGAUGUUGGGUUAAGUCCCGCAACGAGCGCAACCCUUGUUCCUAGUUGCCAGCGGUUCGGCCGGGCACUCUAGGGAGACUGCCGGUGACAAACCGGAGGAAGGUGGGGAUGACGUCAAGUCCUCAUGGCCUUUAUGUCCAGGGCUACACACGUGCUACAAUGGCGCGUACAGAGGGAAGCGAGACCGCGAGGUGGAGCAGACCCCAGAAAGCGCGCCGUAGUUCGGAUUGCAGUCUGCAACUCGACUUCAUGAAGCUGGAAUCGCUAGUAAUCGUGGAUCAGCCAAGCCGCGGUGAAUACGUUCCCGGGCCUU
rnacentral:rRNA from 1 species